GAUGAACGCUAGCGGCAGGCCUAAUACAUGCAAGUCGAACGGUGUCUUCGGACAUAGUGGCGCACGGGUGCGUAACACGUAUGCAACCUACCUUACAUUGGGGGAUAGCCUUUCGAAAGGGAGAUUAAUACCGCAUAAGACAGUAGGUGGGCAUCCAGCAGCUGUUAAAGAUUUAUCGAUGUAAGCUGGGCAUGCGUCCAAUUAGCUAGUUGGUGAGGUAACGGCUCACCAAGGCAAUGAUUGGUAGGGGAACUGAGAGGUCAAUCCCCCACACUGGCACUGAGAUACGGGCCAGACUCCUACGGGAGGCAGCAGUAGGGAAUAUUGGGCAAUGGACGCAAGUCUGACCCAGCCAUGCCGCGUGCAGGAUGAAGGCGUUAUGCGUUGUAAACUGCUUUUAUACAGGAAGAAACGACUCUUGCGAGAGGCAUUGACGGUACUGUAUGAAUAAGCACCGGCUAACUCCGUGCCAGCAGCCGCCGCGGUAA
rnacentral:rRNA from 1 species